GGGAGAUGAGCCCGUGAUACAUGAGAACUCAGAAAUCUCCACGGUGUCUCUGCAGGUGUCCAUGGUAAGCCAGCGAUUGUUAGUGAAGAAUCUCGUGUACAUGCAUGUUUACUGUACUAGCAUUUUAUCAGGUGAGUGGGGAUGCUGAACUGCGGAAGGAACAACAGCCCGCCGAGCAGAUGAUGGAGCAAGGGAUUCAUGGGUGUCCAGAUGCAGAGGAAGGGUUCGGAGAGCAUGAUCCUGCUGCUAAUCAAGUGGAGCUGGAGCAGGAGGAAUCCCUGAAGCUGAUGUUAACAGCGGAUAGCGAUAUGGAGGAAAGCAAUCGCCACAACGCCAAACGUGCUAGAAAGAAUUUCUGAUUAGAAGUGUAGUUCGUUGUUAGUACAGUCAGAUUAGGCAAAGAUGCCUUUGCCUUGUUGCUGACAUGUGUACUCAGUAAUUAGUUUGAGUGUGUUGAGUAGAUCUCUAGGUUUGUAAGUGGUUCAUCGGUGGAGUAGUGAACUCUGUACUGUAAUGCAGAGGAGUGUCUGCUGUUGUCAACAAGUAUAAAUCAACGUGUCUAAGUGAGGCUUAUUUGUGUGACAUGCAUCUCCAUUACCAAUAACGGCUCCUUUGGUCCAGGUCCCGUAACUAAACGGCUCACCACGUCCACUCCCGUCCGGUCCGCCACCGCAUUAACUGACGGCGCUUUCUGAGCAGUGGGCCAUCUAAC
rnacentral:lncRNA from 1 species